AUAUCAAUAAGCGGAGGAAAAGAAACUAACAAGGAUUCCCCUAGUAACGGCGAGUGAAGCGGGAAGAGCUCAAGCUUAAAAUCUCCGUGCAAGUUUUGCGCGGCGAAUUGUAGUCUAUAGAGGCGUGGUCAGCGUGGGCGCUUGGGGCAAGUUCCUUGGAAGAGGACAGCAUGGAGGGUGAUACUCCCGUUCAUCCCUGAGUGGCUCGUGCGUACGACCCGUUUUCUUUGAGUCGCGUUGUUUGGGAAUGCAGCGCAAAGUAGGUGGUAAAUUCCAUCUAAAGCUAAAUAUUGGUGCGAGACCGAUAGCGAACAAGUACCGUGAGGGAAAGAUGAAAAGAACUUUGAAAAGAGAGUUAAAGAGUACCUGAAACUGCUGAAAGGGAACCGAAUCGUUUCCAGUGUCUAUAAUCCGUGGCAUAUUUCAUUGGCGAGUGUGCGCGUGCGUGUGCUGUGGCAGCGGCUUUUUUGGCUGCGCUCGGCGCGUGUGCUGUGUGUGCUUGCUGGUGCCCUGUGCUGCGGUGGGACGUCAAGGUCAGUUCGUAUGCUGCGGGAAAUGGCUGCCGAGGAGGUAGGGCUUACGCUCUGCGUUUGUCUAUUAUAUCUUGGUGGACGAGUCGUCGCGGUUGGGACUGAGGUGCCUACAACGUGCUUUUGAGUGGGUUUGUGUCUCCGUGUGCGCCGUGUGCGGAUAGCUUGCUAUGCGUGUGUGGUUGUGUGUGGAUUGAUGCGGGCUUUAACUUGUUGCCGUUCGGGACGUUGACGAAAUGGAGCGAUCCGACCCGUCUUGAAACACGGACCAAGGAGUCUAACAUGUGUGCAAGUGUUAGGGUGUGGAAACCCCAGCGCGAAAUGAAAGUGAAGGGCAGCGCAAGUUGUCUGAGGUAGGAAACGUUGCGGGCUUCGGUCUGCGGCGUGGCACUAUCGACCGAUCAUGAACCUUCGUGGUGAAAGAUUUGAGUUUGAGCACAUAUGUUGGUACCCGAAAGAUGGUGAACUAUGCCUGAGUAGGGUGAAGCCAGGGGAAACUCUGGUGGAAGCUCGUAGCGAUUCUGACGUGCAAAUCGAUCGUCAAACUUGGGUAUAGGGGCGAAAGACUAAUCGAACCAUCUAGUAGCUGGUUCCCUCCGAAAUUUCCCUCAGGAUAGCAGCAACUUAUUUACGAUAGUUUUAUGAGGUAAAGCGAAUGAUUAGAGGAUUCGGGGAAGAAACUUCCUCGACCUAUUCUCAAACUUUAAAUCUGUAAGACCUGCAGGUUUCUUAAUUGAACUUGUGGAUGUGAAUAUCAAGUUGCUAGUGGGCCAUACGGGGUAAGCUCGUCUGGCGAUGCGGGAUGAACCGAACGCAAAGUUAAAGUGCCAAAAUGCCCGCUCACCUAGAUACCAUAAAAGGUGUUGGU
rnacentral:rRNA from 1 species